rnacentral:tRNA from 1 species
GGCGGAAUAGUUCAGCGGUUAGAACAAUGGAAUCAUAAUCCAUAUGUCGUGGGUUCAAAUCCCCCUUUCGCCU